UACGUAGGGACCUAGCGUUGUCCGGAAUCAUUGGGCGUAAAGCGCGCGUAGGCGGCCCGGUAAGUCCGUUGUAAAAGUCGAAGGCUCAACCUUCGAAAGCCGAUGGAUACUGCCGGGCUAGAGUACGGAAGAGGCGAGUAGAAUUCCUGGUGUAGCGGUGGAAUGCGCAGAUAUCGGGAAGAACACCCGUGGCGAAGGCGGCUCUCUGGGACGGUACUGACGCUGAGACGCGAAAAGCGUGGGGAGCGAACAGGA
rnacentral:rRNA from 1 species